AGCCGAUGUGAUGUAGUGGUUUUAGCACUGGACUACAAGUCCGGUGGCCAGGGUUCAAAUCCCCGCUCAGCUG